rnacentral:tRNA from 1 species
GGGCUGUUAGUUCAGUUAGUAGAACACUCGAUUCGCAUUCGAGAGGUCACCGGUGCAAUUCCGGUACAGUCCACAA